UACGUAGGGUGCAAGCGUUAAUCGGAAUUACUGGGCGUAAAGCGUGCGCAGGCGGUGGGGCAAGACAGAGGGGAAAUCCCCGGGCUUAACCUGGGAACUGCAUUUGUGACUGCACGGCUAGAGUGUGUCAGAGGGGGGUAGAAUUCCACGUGUAGCAGUGAAAUGCGUAGAUAUGUGGAGGAAUACCGAUGGCGAAGGCAGCCCCCUGGGAUAACACUGACGCUGAGGCGCGAAAGCGUGGGGAGCAAACAGG
rnacentral:rRNA from 1 species